AUUGAACGCUAGGCGGCAUGCUUUACACAUGCAAGUCGAGCGGCAGCGCGGGACUCAGGCAACUGAGCCCUGGCGGCGAGCGGCGAACGGGUGAGGAAUACAUCGGAACGUACCCCGGAGUGGGGGAUAACGCCGCGAAAGCGGCGCUAAUACCGCAUAUGCUCUGUGGAGGAAAGUGGGGGACCCGCAAGGGCCGUCACGCUCUGGGCGCGGCCGAUGUCCGAUAGCUAGUUGGUGAGGUAAUGGCUCACCAAGGCGACGAUCGGUAGCUGGUCUGAGAGGAUGAUCAGCCACACUGGGACUGAGACACGGCCCAGACUCCUACGGGAGGCAGCAGUGGGGAAUUUUGGACAAUGGGGCAA
rnacentral:rRNA from 1 species